CAGUAGCCACGGGAAUACGAAGGGGGCUAGCGUUGUUCGGAUUUACUGGGCGUAAAGGGCGCGUAGGCGGACUGAUAAGUCAGGGGUGAAAUCCCAAGGCUCAACCUUGGAACUGCCUUUGAUACUGUUUGUCUUGAGUUCGAGAGAGGUAAGUGGAACUGCGAGUGUAGAGGUGAAAUUCGUAGAUAUUCGCAAGAACACCAGUGGCGAAGGCGACUUUCUGGACGAAAACUGACGCUGAGGCGCGAAAGCCAGGGGAGCGAACGGGAUUAGAGACCCGUGUAGUCCCUGUCUCUUAUAC
rnacentral:rRNA from 1 species